AUACGUAGGUGACAAGCGUUAUCCGGAUUUACUGGGUGUAAAGGGCGUGUAGGCGGUUUAGCAAGUAAGAAGUGAAAUUCCCGGGCUUAACUUGGGCACUGCUUCUGAAACUGCUUUACUUUAGGGCUGGAGAGGAGAGUGGAAUUCCUAGUGUAGCGGUAAAAUGCGCAGAUAUUAGGAGGAACACCGGUGGCGAAGGCGGCUAUCUGGACAGUAACUGACGCUGAGGCGCGAAAGCACGGGGAGCAAACAGGAUUAGAUACCCUGGUAGUCCGUGCCGUAAACGAUGAAUACUAGGUGUAGGGGGUAUCGACUCCCUCUGUGCCGCAGUUAACACAUUAAGUAUUCCACCUGGGGAGUACGGCCGCAAGGUUGAAACUCAAAGGAAUUGGCGGGG
rnacentral:rRNA from 1 species